UACGGAGGGGGCAAGCGUUAUUCGGAAUUAUUGGGCGUAAAGGGCGCGUAGGCGGCUUGGCAAGUGGAAGGUGAAAUCCCUCGGCUUAACCGAGGAACUGCCCUCCAAACUGCUUCGCUUGAGACCGGGAGAGGUGAGUGGAAUUCCCAGUGUAGCGGUGAAAUGCGUAGAUAUUGGGAGGAACACCAGUGGCGAAGGCGGCUCACUGGACCGGUACUGACGCUGAUGCGCGAAAGCGUGGGGAGCAAACAGG
rnacentral:rRNA from 1 species